rnacentral:rRNA from 1 species
UACGGGGGGGGCAAGGGUUGUUCGGAAUUACGGGGCGUAAAGGGCUCGUAGGUGGCCAACUAAGUCAGAGGUGAAAUCCCUCAGCUUAACUGGGGAACUGCGUCUGAUACUGGAUGGCUUGAGAUUGGGAGAGAGAUGCGGAAUUCCAGGUGUAGCGGUGAAAUGCGUAGAUAUCUGGAGGAACACCGGUGGCGAAGGCGGCAUCCUGGACCAACACUGACACUGAGGAGCGAAAGCCAGGGGAGCAAACGGG